rnacentral:tRNA from 1 species
GGGUGAUUAGCUCAGCGGGAGAGCGCUCCGUUCACACCGGAGAGGUCACUGGUUCGAUCCCAGUAUCGCCCACCA